UGUGGGGGUGGAGGGCAGUAUCUUGACUGAUCCUGAGAUGGGGUCUAGAGCACUGGGAGCUGGGCUUCUCUUAUGCAGGAGUGGAGUAUGGGGUGGUCGACUCCUGUGUACACAGCAUCUGCCAGUAAGAGGGAUGUCAACUCUCUUCUAACCAACCACCAGCUUCUAUACUCGCUCCAAAUCAGAGUGAGAUCCAAGAGUAACGGCCUCUUCCACGUCCCAUCACUGACUACAUAGCUUAAUAGCCAAGUAUCUCCUAAGCUGAAAUAAGCCAUUAUUGCUUUCAUCUACUACCAUGACCUCUCAGAAGUCUUCCCCAGCAUCUUAGGCAUCCAGCUCCUUGCUCAAGACUCCAGAAAGACUCUGAAAACAGGUGCCAACGUGCCUUACUCUUCAGCAAUGCAGGUGCCCUCAAAGGCCAGCUGGAGUCACAGGCGUUAUGAGCUACCUACCUCAGGUGGGUAUUGGAACCGAACUCAGGUCAUCUAGAGGAGCAGUAAGAUCACUUAACCACUGAGCCAUCUGUUUAGCCCCACAGAUGUUAUUUCUUAUGUACAGGCUUAACAUAA